rnacentral:rRNA from 1 species
UACGGAAGGCAGCAGUGGGGAAUAUUGCACAAUGGGCGAAAGCCUGAUGCAGCUAUGCCGCGUGUAUGAAGAAGGCCUUAGGGUUGUAAAGUACUUUCAUCGGGGAGGAAAAAACAAAACUAAUAAUUUUAUUUCUUGACGUUACCCGAAAAAGAAGCACCGGCUAACUCCGUGCCAGCAGCCGCGGUAAUACGGAGGGUGCUAGCGUUAAUCAGAAUUACUGGGCGUAAAGAGCACGUAGGUGGUUUUUUAAGUCAGAUGUGAAAUCCCUGGGCUUAACCUAGGAACUGCAUUUUGAAACUGAAAUACUAGAGUAUCGUAGAGGGAGGUAGAAUUCUAGGUGUAGCGGUGAAAUGCGUAGAUAUCUGGAGGAAUACCUGUGGCGAAAGCGGCCUCCUAAACGAAUACUGACACUGAGGUGCGAAAGCGUGGGGAGCAAACGAGGGAUUAGAUA